rnacentral:rRNA from 1 species
CCGCUGAACUUAAGCAUAUCAAUAAGCGGAGGAAAAGAAACCAACAGGGAUUGCCUCAGUAACGGCGAGUGAAGCGGCAACAGCUCAAAUUUGAAAUCUGGCCUUUUCAGGGUCCGAGUUGUAAUUUGUAGAGGAUGCUUCGGGUACGGCUCCGGUCUAAGUUCCUUGGAACAGGACGUCAUAGAGGGUGAGAAUCCCGUAUGUGACUGGCCGCCACGCCCGUGUGAAGCUCCUUCGACGAGUCGAGUUGUUUGGGAAUGCAGCUCAAAAUGGGUGGUAAAUUUCAUCUAAAGCUAAAUAUUGGCCAGAGACCGAUAGCGCACAAGUAGAGUGAUCGAAAGAUGAAAAGCACUUUGGAAAGAGAGUUAAACAGUACGUGAAAUUGUUGAAAGGGAAGCGCUUGCAAUCAGACUUGCCCGCGGGUGAUCAGCCGGUAUUCUUACCGGUGCACUCGCCCGUGGUCAGGCCAGCAUCGGUUUGGGCGGUUGGAUAAAGUCCCCCGGAACGUAGCUCCCUUCGGGGAGUGUUAUAGCCGGGGGUGCAAUGCAUCCUGCCCGGACCGAGGACCGCGCUUCUGCUAGGAUGCUGGCGUAAUGGUUGUAAGCGACCCGUCUUGAA